CCCCCGCCUCUUCCCAUUGGUUCCCUGCUCCCCCUCCCCUUCCUUGUACGCCAUUGGCUGCGCCACCUUCGACUUCCGGCCGUCCUCCAUUAGCUUCCGGUGGACAGACAAUGAUAACGAAACACUUCCGGCUUCCGAUUUUAACCCUAUCCGAGCACCGGAUAUGACGUAUAAAGCCGUCAGCAGCUUCCGGAUGACCCAAACGGAAGGGAAAAGUCGGCAGCCCUUCCGGUGUCGGGCCACGCAUCCCAGGGGGAACGCCGAGUUGAUCAUAGAGAACCCAGGUUCGACCCCCUCCAACACCCCCGUCCAAGUGACCAUCCACCCCCCGUCCCGCGACGCCUUCGACGGCCCCUUCCGCAACGCCACCGUCUUAUGUCAAACCAAAGGGAACCGAAAAGCCAAACAAGUGAAUUGGUACAAAAACGGAUCCCCCGUCAUUGGAUCUAAUGUUCAAUAUUGGACCGGAACCGUCGGAACCCAAACGGUGACUCAAAGUAAAGUGGAAGUGACUGAGAGCGAAUGGGAUUCCGGUGUCGUCUUUAGUUGUGUCGUAGAUGGGGAGAUGAGGAACACCAGCAAGAGGAUGGAAUGUGGAUUAGACACCCCCGACCCCGCCGAGAUCAGCGUCCGCGUCUUCCCCCCUUCCUUCGUGGAUAUCUUCCUUAGUAAAACAGCCAAGUUGAAAUGCCGGGUGAGCAACAUGGCCAACGUGGACGGCCUGGAGGUGUCAUGGUGGAAGGAAAAAGGGGGUCGGAUGGAGACAUCCGUGGGGCAGAAAGUCCUACAAAGCAAUGGGUUCUAUAUGGUGGAGGCCACGACUUCGGUGUGCGUGGAUGAAUGGGACGGAGGGGACGCCUACGUUUGUAGGGUCAACCAUCCCGAGUUGCUGUUUCCAGUUGAGGAGAGGAUGAAGAAGACGGAGGCAAGAAACGCCCGCCCCCCCUCCAUCUCUAUCUACCCCCCACCAUCGGACCAACAACCCGGCCUCCAACGCCUCAGCAUCACCUGCAUGAUCCAAGGCUUCAACCCCCCCGACUUCUUCGUCCGCUGGCUUAGGAACGGGGAACCCCUUCCCCAAUCCCAUUGGUUGACCACCACCCCAUUAAAUCAAGGAGAAGAUCCCAUAAACGAAUCCUACGUGGCUUAUAGUCUAUUGAAGGUUGGGGCCGAAGAAUGGGGCGCCGGGAACGUCUAUAGUUGUUUGGUUGGCCAUGAAGCUUUGCCUCUUCAAUUGGCUCAGAAGUCUGUGGAUAAGGCCUCGGAACUGUUGGAUUUGGGUCCGGAUGUGGACGACGACGAUAUUAACAACCUUUGGACGACGGCUUCGACCUUCAUCAUCCUCUUCAUCCUCAGCCUCUUCUACAGCGCCACCGUCACCCUCAUCAAGGUACAACCGAUUUUGGGCCAAAAAACCCCAAUUUUGGGCAAAAAAUAAACCCAAAAUAGCUGUUUUUAAUACCUUCCAC